ACCCCUGUAGCUCAGUGGUAGAGCAGGCGACUCUUAAUCGUCGGGUCCUCGGUUCGAUCCCGAGUGGGGGUAC
rnacentral:tRNA from 2 species